rnacentral:rRNA from 1 species
UACGAAGGGGGCUAGCGUUGCUCGGAAUCACUGGGCGUAAAGCGCACGUAGGCGGAUUGCUAAGUCAGGGGUGAAAUCCUGGAGCUCAACUCCAGAACUGCCUUUGAUACUGGCGAUCUUGAGUCCGGGAGAGGUGAGUGGAACUGCGAGUGUAGAGGUGAAAUUCGUAGAUAUUCGCAAGAACACCAGUGGCGAAGGCGGCUUACUGGUCCGGUUCUGACGCUGAGGCGCGAAAGCGUGGGGAGCAAACAGG